rnacentral:rRNA from 1 species
UUAACUGACGCUAAAGCUCGAAAGUGCGGGUAUCGAACAGGAUUAGAUACCCUGGUAGUCCGCACGGUAAACGAUGGAUGCCCGCUGUUGGCGAUAUAUUGUCAGCGGCCAAGCGAAAGCGUUAAGCAUCCCACCUGGGGAGUACGCCGGCAACGGUGAAACUCAAAGGAAUUGACGGGGGCCCGCACAAGCGGAGGAACAUGUGGUUUAAUUCGAUGAUACGCGAGGAACCUUACCCGGGCUUGAACUGCCAGCGAACGAUACAGAGAUGUUGAGGCCCUUCGGGGCGCUGGUGGAGGUGCUGCAUGGUUGUCGUCAGCUCGUGCCGUGAGGUGUCGGCUUAAGUGCCAUAACGAGCGCAACCCCUCUCGCCAGUUGCCAUCAGGUGAUGCUGGGCACUCUGGCGACACUGCCACCGUAAGGUGUGAGGAAGGUGGGGAUGACGUCAAAUCAGCACGGCCCUUACGUCCGGGGCUACACACGUGUUACAAUGGGUGGUACAGAGAGUCAAUCCCCAGCAAUGUGGAUUCAAUCCUUAAAGCCAUCCUCAGUUCGGAUUGGGGUCUGCAACCCGACCCCAUGAAGCUGGAUUCGCUAAUA